GACGAACGCUGGCGGCGUGCUUAACACAUGCAAGUCGAACGGUAAGGCCCUUCGGGGUACACGAGUGGCGAACGGGUGAGUAACACGUGGGUGAUCUGCCCUGCACUUCGGGAUAAGCCUGGGAAACUGGGUCUAAUACCGGAUAGGACCACUGCCUGCAUGGGUGGUGGUGGAAAGCUUUUGCGGUGUGGGAUGGGCCCGCGGCCUAUCAGCUUGUUGGUGGGGUGAUGGCCUACCAAGGCGACGACGGGUAGCCGGCCUGAGAGGGAGACCGGCCACACUGGGACUGAGAUACGGGCCAGGCUCCUGCGGGAGGCAGCAGUGGGGAAUAUUGCACAAUGGGCGCAAGCCUGAUGCAGCGACGCCGCGUGAGGGAUGACGGCCUUCGGGUUGUAAACCGCUUUCAGCAGGGAAGAAGCCGCAAGGUGACGGUACCUGCAGAAGAAGCACCGGCUAACUACGUGCCAGCAGCCGCAGUAA
rnacentral:rRNA from 1 species